AGUGGCGGACGGGUGAGUAACGCGUGAGAAUCUGCCUUGGGGUCGGGGACAACCACUGGAAACGGUGGCUAAUACCGGAUACGCCUUCGGGUAAAAGAUUUAUUGCCCUAAGAGGAGCUCGCGUCUGAUUAGCUAGUUGGUGAGGUAAGAGCUCACCAAGGCAGCGAUCAGUAGCUGGUCUGAGAGGACGAUCAGCCACACUGGGACUGAGACACGGCCCAGACUCCUACGGGAGGCAGCAGUGGGGAAUUUUCCGCAAUGGGCGAAAGCCUGACGGAGCAAGACCGCGUGAGGGAGGAAGGCUCUUGGGUUGUAAACCUCUUUUCUCAGGGAAGAAGCUCUGACGGUACCUGAGGAAUCAGCCUCGGCUAACUCCGUGCCAGCAGCCGCGGUAAUACGGAGGAAGCAAGCGUUAUCCGGAAUUAUUGGGCGUAAAGCGUCCGCAGGUGGCGAUUCAAGUCUGCUGUCAAAGCACGGGGCUUAACUCCGUAAAGGCAGUGGAAACUGAAUAGCUAGAGUGCCGUAGGGGUAGAGGGAAUUCCCGGUGUAGCGGUGAAAUGCGUAGAGAUCGGGAAGAACAUCGGUGGCGAAAGCGCUCUACUGGACGGCAACUGACACUCAGGGACGAAAGCUAGGGGAGCGAAUGGGAUUAGAUACCCC
rnacentral:rRNA from 1 species